rnacentral:tRNA from 1 species
GGUGGCUUAAUGGUAGAGUGCUUGCCUAGCAUGCAUGAAGCCCUGGGUUCAAUUCCCCAGUACCA